UAAGAAGGUGGCAAGCGUUGUUCGGAUUUACUGGGCGUACAGGGAGCGUAGGCGGUUGGAUAAGCCCUCCGUGAAAUCUCCAGGCUUAACCUGGAAAGUGCAGAGGGGACUGUUCAGCUAGAGGAUGGGAGAGGAGCGCGGAAUUCCCGGUGUAGCGGUGAAAUGCGUAGAGAUCGGGAGGAAGGCCGGUGGCGAAGGCGGCGCUCUGGAACAUUUCUGACGCUGAGGCUCGAAAGCGUGGGGAGCAAACAGG
rnacentral:rRNA from 1 species